CCUACGGGAGGCAGCAGUGAGGAAUAUUGGUCAAUGGACGAGAGUCUGAACCAGCCAAGUAGCGUGAAGGAUGACUGCCCUAUGGGUUGUAAACUUCUUUUAUAAAGGAAUAAAACGAGGCACGUGUGCCUUUUUGCAUGUACUUUAUGAAUAAGGAUCGGCUAACGCCGUGCCAGCAGCCGCGGUAAUACGGAGGAUCCGAGCGUUAUCCGGAUUUAUUGGGUUUAAAGGGAGCGUAGAUGGGUUGUUAAGUCAGUUGUAAAAGUUUGCGGCUCAACCGUAAAAUUGCAAUUGAUACUGGCAGUCUUGAGUACAGUUGAGGUAGGCGGAAUUCGUGGUGUAGCGGUAAAUGCUUAGAUAUCACGAAGAACCCCGAUUGCGAAGGCAGCUUACUAAACUGUGACUGACAUUGAUGCUCGAAAGUGUGGGUAUCAAACAGGAUUAGAUACCCGAGUAGUC
rnacentral:rRNA from 1 species